UGUCAGCGACAGUUGCAAAUCCGGAUGAGCUAGCUGGCUGGAUUGGCCAGAUUCAUGGUAAAACAGAGCUUGUAACAUCAUCAUGGCGUCCUAUUCCAUUGACUUGGCACUUCUCAACAAAGACUUCUUUAUUUCGGCUUCUUAAUGAAAAAGGAACACACAUGAACAGGAAGCUGUCACUCAAUUAUUUAAAACUUUCUGCUUCAGGAGACAACUUGUACA